GACCCGAGCGAAGCGAGAGAACGUUGCGUCAGCAACGGCCCGCAGGGCGAGCCACGCAGUGGCGAGUCAUCCUCUAUCACCGACCA
rnacentral:sRNA from 2 species